rnacentral:rRNA from 1 species
UUUUUUUUUUUUUUUUUUUCCCGCUGAGAUUGAACGAAGGCGGCAGGCAUAACACAUGCAAGUAGAGCGGUAGCACAGAGAGCUUGCUCUCGGGUGACGAGCGGCGGACGGGUGAGUAAUGUAUGGGAAAGUGCCUGAUGGAGGGGGAUAACUACUGGAAACGGUAGCUAAUACCGCAUAACGUCGCAAGACCAAAGUGGGGGACCUUCGGGCCUCAUGCCAUUAGAUGUGCCCAGAUGGGAUUAGGUGGUAGGUGGGGUAACGGCUCACCUAGGCGACGAUCCCUAGCUGGUCUGAGAGGAUGACCAGCCACACUGGAACUGAGACACGGUCCAGACUCCUACGGGAGGCAGCAGUGGGGAAUAUUGCACAAUGGGCGCAAGCCUGAUGCAGCCAUGCCGCGUGUGUGAAGAAGGCCUUCGGGUUGUAAAGCACUUUCAGCGGGGAGGAAGGCGUUAAGGUUAAUAACCUCAUCGAUUGACGUUACCCGCAGAAGAAGCACCGGCUAACUCCGUGCCAGCAGCCGCGGUAAUACGGAGGGUGCAAGCGUUAAUCGGAAUUACUGGGCGUAAAGCGGUGCGCAGGCGGUCUGGCAAGUCGGAGGUGAAAUCCCCGGGCUCAACCUGGGAACUGCAUUCGAAACUGGCAGGCUAGAGUCAGCAGCAGCCCGUAGUC